rnacentral:rRNA from 1 species
AUUGAACGCUGGCGGCAGGCCUAACACAUGCAAGUCGAACGAGUGGCGGACGGGUGAGUAAUGUCUGGGGAACUGCCCGAUGGAGGGGGAUAACUACUGGAAACGGUAGCUAAUACCGCAUACCAUCGGAUGUGCCCAGAUGGGAUUAGCUAGUAGGUGGGGUAACGGCUCACCUAGGCGACGAUCCCUAGCUGGUCUGAGAGGAUGACCAGCCACUUUGGAACUGGGACACGGUCCAGACACCUACGGAAGGCAGCAGUGGGGAAUAUUGCACAAUGGGCGCAAUCCUGAUGCACCCAUGCCGCGUGUAUGGAGAAGGCCUUAGGGUUUUAAAGUACUUUCAGCGAGGAUGCGUUACCCGCAGAAGAAGCACCGGCUAACUCCGUGCCAGCAGCGGCGGUAAUUC